GGAGAAACUCCCAGGUAUCAUGAAGCUUGUACAAAAAGAAAGGAUGAAAGUUUGCAAUCCAAGAGAUUUGAUGUGAAAUUAUACUGCCUCACUGAUUUGCUUGUCGAGAUCCUUUCGUGACCAAUCAGCAUCUCUGUACAAGUUUGACAUGGUCCUAGGAAGAGAAAUCCAUGUUGAAGAGGGAUAAAAAGCACACCAAGGCUUGAGCCCUGAAAGGGUGCUGGCACGGAGGAUUUCCACGCUGUUCCAGCCACAGCAUCUCCAGAGGUGCCAUCCACAAGGAUGUGUCAUGAUGAAGUGGAAAAUGGCAGUGUUUCAGUGCUGGCUGUCUCAGUCAAGGAGUAUGUUGUCCUGAUGACUGUGAGUCAAGUGAAACAAGUGUGGCAACAGGACAAGAAAGAUGAUGAAAUACAGCACUUACCACUAGCACUCCAUUAGUAAUGAUGGUUUCAGGAGGGCCUGAACUAGGAAACAGAAACACAAAUGCAUUUACUAACUCAUUAAAAUUACAGUAUAGUUCAUGAGCCCCACCCUUCUCCUGAUUUUCCUCUUGUAUAUUUUUACCUGCAUAUUGGAUUUGAAAGAAAAGUCGCGGGAGACUUGUUGUACAAGUUUCCUCACUCUACUAUGUCAAGGCACAAUUGUCAUCCUACUGGCUCAUCCAGUCCUGGAGCUCAGCAAAAAAAAUGCCAAAGGUGCUCUGAGGCCAAACCAUGUAGUGAUUUCUGCUGAGUCCCAAGCUAAGGCCAAGGAUGGUUUCAUGGAAUCCACUUUUUUUUUUUUUUUUUAAUCAUGCUUUGUUGGACAAUGAAACAGUAAAGGCACUGGAUCAGAAAUCCAGUGUAUUAUUCUAUGUUGUAUUUCAAAGGGAGCUGGACCCUCUUGCUGAUCUCAAACACAAGCACAAAGCAAAUCAGCAACAUUCUGGUCUUCAAUAGUGUUCACUACAUUAGAAAAAGAAAAGGUUUUAGGGUGUUCUCCCUGUUUGCCUGAAGUUCAUUGGAGGUCAUCCUGGCAUUCACCCAUUUGUCAACACAGCUCAUAGCACAGAUUCCUCGGGAAUGAUGCACUCUGAACAAUCAGACUAAAUUAUUUCAUGCCUCUGAAUUGCUGUUUCUUUUUUUUUCCCAGCUAAUGUUGCAUUUCAUGUUUACUCACAUAUUAUCCAAGGCAAAUCCCAUCUCCAACUCCUCUUGUCGCUGGAAAAUAAAGUAAGGAAAAUGAUUUUGGUACUAGUUUACUGGCAAUUUUCAGUAUGCAAGAACUCAUUCUCACAAUCUGGGUAUGCAUGCACUGCUUGUGACCAGCAGAGCAUUUAAAACAGAAGCACACACCACCUCACAUCUGUGUGUCUUUUGCCCCAAGACUCUCUAGUGAUAGGAAGCUUGUGGAUGGCUGUCAUAGCAGUUUUUAACACAGAAAUUGUUAGACUUGUCUGCUUCUGCUGGGGCCUAUGGCACAGACCUAGGAAGAGAUGUCUCAUUCUGAGUCUGCCAGCAGAAGGAAAGGGGAUGUGCUGAAGGGGAGAGCCAAAUCCUUCUGGUGUCAGGAGGAGAAAUGGUGACAUGCCAAGCAGUUGUGGAAGAGGAAAAUGUCUUUGUCUGGCAAAGAGUUAAGGGCUUUGGGACAGAGGUAAAUGAAGGCCUGGUCUGUGAAGUGGUGAAAAGAGUAUAAUCCUCAGGGGAAAGAAAGCAGAGCCAAGAGGAAAACAAAAGUGGAGACAGAAGGGAUGAUAAACAGCAAAGUGAGAUCAUGCUGUACGCUACUUAGUUGCUCAAAUUACCCACUGAAUUAAAGACACCAAGAAGUUAAUAAUAUAGGACAAAAAAGUUUACAAAGGCUUGAAGAGUAUGAGUUCUAACUGGUGUAGCUGUGCAAACACAAAAAGAAAAGGCUUGGAUAUGGCACCUGUAAUCACUCAAAGUGAUCAGCUGGGUUACAGCUAGCCAAAGUUUUAACUUUGCCAGCACUUCGUGAA